rnacentral:lncRNA from 1 species
GCCCUUUUUCUUCGAUUGUCUUUGUUGUAAUUUUCAUAGUGGUAAUUGUCCCCAUAUUGUUGCCAAAGCUUCAUUUUGAGACAUCCCCCUUACCAUGCAUGAUGGUACAUGCUGGUAUUAGCAAAUACUGACUAUUUAUGUUUUAUGAUAAAUAUGCAUGUACAGGAGAUGGGUUGUAUCUUUCGUACGAAAAAAUAAUUUAUCUUCUUUCGC